AUGUCCCGUUGCGUGGAUCCGCUGGUGGUGGGGCGGGUGAUCGGCGAGGUGGUGGACUUGUUCGUGCCGUCGGUGGCCAUGGCUGUGGCCUACGGCGCCAGGGACCUCAGCAACGGCUGCCACGUCAAGCCCUCCCUGGCCGCCGACCAGCCGCUCGUCGGCAUCUCCGGCCGCCGCAACGACCUCUACACCCUCGUGAUGACGGACCCUGACGCGCCUAGCCCUAGCGAGCCCACCAUGAGGGAGUACCUCCACUGGAUAGUGGUUAACAUACCGGGUGGAACAGAUGCAACUAAAGGUGAGGUGGUGGUGCCAUACAUGGGGCCGCGGCCGCCGGUGGGCAUCCACCGCUACGUGCUGGUGCUGUUCGAGCAGAAGACGCGCUUCCCCUACGUCGCGGAGGCGCCGCCGGAGGAGCGCGCCUUCGCCGGCAACCACGAGCUCGGCCUCCCCGUCGCCGUCGUCUACUUCAACUCCCAGAAGGAGCCGUCCGGGCACCGCCGGCGCUGA
rnacentral:rRNA from 1 species